rnacentral:rRNA from 1 species
UACGAAGGGGGCUAGCGUUGCUCGGAAUCACUGGGCGUAAGCGCACGUAGGCGGCUUCUUAAGUCAGGGGUGAAAUCCUGGAGCUCAACUCCAGAACUGCCUUUGAUACUGAGGAGCUUGAGUCCGGGAGAGGUGAGUGGAACUGCGAGUGUAGAGGUGAAAUUCGUAGAUAUUCGCAAGAACACCAGUGGCGAAGGCGGCUCACUGGCCCGGUACUGACGCUGAGGUGCGAAAGCGUGGGGAGCAAACAGG